rnacentral:tRNA from 1 species
GGUAAUCAUAACUCAACGGUAGAGUAAUUAUUUGUGGCAUAGUCGGUCUUGGUUCGAUUCCAGGUGUUUACC